rnacentral:rRNA from 1 species
CCUACGGGUGGCAGCAGUGAGGAAUAUUGGUCAAUGGGCGGGAGCCUGAACCAGCCAAGUCGCGUGAGGGAAGACGGCCCUAUGGAUUGUAAACCUCUUUAGUCGGGGAGCAAUGCCGGGCACGCGUGCCCGGAGGGAGAGUACCUGCAGAAUAAGCAUCGGCUAACACCGUGCCAGCAGCCGCGGUAAUACGGAGGGUGCGAGCGUUAUCCGAUUUGUGUGGGUUUAAGGGGUUCGUAGGCGGAUUUUUAAGUCAGCGGUAAAACGUACGGGCUCAACCCGGGCCGGCCGUUGAAACUGGGGAUCUUGAGUGGGGGAGAGGUAUGCGGAAUGCGUGGUGUAGCGGUGAAAUGCGUAGAUAUCAGGAGGAACACCGAUUGCGAAGGCAGCAUACCGG